rnacentral:lncRNA from 1 species
UUCGGAGGACUAAGCCACAUUCCAAUGUGUGCGAAUCUGCAAAAAAUGCGAAAAAGCCCUUUAACCGUACAUUUUACAGAUACGCGCGCAUUGACUUUUUCGUAGAUCUUCUUGAGAUGCACGUGAUUGUCAAAUUUUGUGUCAAUAUGACAAAGCGUACAGGCGUGACAUUCAACAAUGUGUAUUUUCGCCUUGGGGGACAAGAAAAAAUGGACUUUUUUCUCCUGCCAUGGGGGGCGCUCUUUUGGGGAGUAAAAAUUCCUUCACAAAUGUGUUGAUGGCUGGACAUUGCAUCAUCCUAGAAAACUUGGAGGCCAGUGAGGACAAAAAUAAAAAGUUAUAAGACUUUUAAGACUGUGGAUUUUUGGGUUAUCUUUGGCGCCCCCUAGAACCUAAACCGUGGGGUGCAGCGUCAUGAUUUGUACAACUUUGAAUGGCCAUGGGUUGUAGAUUGGCCUGAGCAACUAUGGUGUCAGUGGGACGAAAGCCUUCGGAGGAGUUAGCGAAAUUACAAUGUGUGCGAAUCGGCAAAAAAUGCAAAAUAGCCCUUUUACCGUACAUUAUACAGAUACGCGCUCUUUGACUUUUUCGUAGAUCUAAUUGAGAUACACAUGAUUGUCAAUUUUUGUGUCAAUAUGACAAAGAGUUCAGGCAUGACACUCAACAAUGUGUAUUUUCACCUUAGGGGACAAGAAAAAAUUGACUUUUUUCUCCUGCCAUGGGGGGGCGCUCUUUUGGGGAGUAAAAAUUCCUUCACAAAUGUGUUGAUGGCUGGACAUUGCAUCAUCCUAGAAAACUUGGAGGCCAGUGAGGACAAAAAUAAAAAGUUAUAAGACUUUUAAAUAUUUGGAUUUUAGGGUUAUCUUUGGCGCCCCCUAGAACGUAAACCGUGGGGUGCAGCGUCAUGAUUUGUACAACUUUUAAUGGCCAUGGGGUGUAGAUUGGCCUGAGCAAAUGUGGUGCCGGUGGAACGAAAGCCUUCGGAGGAGUUAGCGAAAUUCCAAUGUGUGCGGAUCGGCAAAAAAUGCGAAAUAAACCUUUAACCGUACAUUAUACAGAUACGCGCUCUUUGACUUUUUCGUAGAUCCUAUUGAGAUACACGUGUGUGUCAAUUUUUGUGUCAAUAUGACAAAGCGUUUAGGCGUGACACUCAACAAUGUGUAUUUUCAUGUUAGGGGACAAGAAAAACUUGACUUUUUUCUCCUGCCAUGGGGGGGCGCUCUUUUGGGGAGUAAAAAUUCCUUCACACAUGUGUUGAUGGCUGGACAUAGCAUCAUCCUAGGAAACUUGGAGGCCAGUGAGGACAAAAAUAAAAAGUUAUAAGACUUUUAAGAAUGUGGAUUUUUGGGUUAUCUUUGGCGCCCCCUAGAACAUAAACCGUGGGGUGCAGCGUCAUGAUUUGUACAACUUUUAAUGGCCAUGGGGUGUAGAUUGGCCUGAGCAAAUUUGGUGCCGGUGGAACGAAAGCCUUCGGAGGAGUUAGCGAAAUUCCAAUGUGUGCGGAUCGGCAAAAAAUGCGAAAUAGCCCUUUAACCGUACAUUUGACAGAUACGCGCGCAUUGACUUUUU